rnacentral:rRNA from 1 species
AUUGAACGCUGGCGGCAUGCUUUACACAUGCAAGUCGAACGGUAACAGGGUGCUUGCACCGCUGACGAGUGGCGAACGGGUGAGUAAUGCGUCGGAACGUGCCGAGUAGUGGGGGAUAACGCAGCGAAAGUUGUGCUAAUACCGCAUACGUACUGAGGUAGAAAGUGGGGGACCUUCGGGCCUCACGCUAUUCGAGCGGCCGACGUCUGAUUAGCUAGUAGGUGAGGUAAAGGCUCUCCUAGGCGACGAUCAGUAGCGGGUCUGAGAGGAUGAUCCGCCACACUGGGACUGAGACACGGCCCAGACUCCUACGGGAGGCAGCAGUGGGGAAUUUUGGACAAUGGGCGAAAGCCUGAUCCAGCCAUGCCGCGUGUCUGAAGAAGGCCUUCGGGUUGUAAAGGACUUUUGUCGGGGAGGAAAUCCUCAGCGUUAAUACCGCUGGGGGAUGACAGUACCUGAAGAAUAAGCACCGGCUAACUACGUGCCAGCCGCCGCAGUAACAC